UGAGGGAAUAUUUGGGGUCAAUGGACGUAAGUCUGAACCAGCCAAGUAGCGUGCAGGAUGACGGCCCUAUGGGUUGUAAACUGCUUUUAUGCGGGGAUAAAGUUGGGGACGUGUCCCUUUUUGCAGGUACCGCAUGAAUAAGGACCGGCUAAUUCCGUGCCAGCAGCCGCGGUAAUACGGAAGGUCCGGGCGUUAUCCGGAUUUAUUGGGUUUAAAGGGAGCGUAGGCCGGAGAUUAAGCGUGUUGUGAAAUGUAGAUGCUCAACAUCUGCACUGCAGCGCGAACUGGUUCCUUGAGUACGCACAAAGUGGGCGGAAUUCGUGGUGUAGCGGUGAAAUGCUUAGAUAUCACGAAGAACUCCGAUUGCGAAGGCAGCUCACUGGAGCGCAACUGACGCUGAAGCUCGAAAGUGCGGGGUAUCGAACAGGGAUUAGAUACCCUGGGUAGU
rnacentral:rRNA from 1 species